AGUGAACGCUGGCGGCGUGCCUAAUACAUGCAAGUCGAACGGAGUGGCGCACGGGUGAGUAAUAUAGAGCUAAUCUGCCCCUUGCUGGAGGACAACAGUUAGAAAUGACUGCUAAUACUCCAUAGCAAGGGAUGAGACUAUAUCUUAUCAGCUAGUCGGUGGGGUAACGGCCUACCGAGGCGAUGACGCGUAACUGGUCUGAGAGGCUGAUCAGUCACAGUUGAACUGAGACACGGUCCAGACUCCUACGGGAGGCAGCAGUACGGGAUCUUGCGCAAUGGGGGAAGCCCUGACGCAGCACCGCCGCGUGGAAGAUGACACUUUUCGGAGCGUAAACUCCUUUUGUUAGGGAAGCGGUACCUAACGAAUAAGCGCCGGCUAACUCCGUGCCAGCCGCCGCGGUAAUUC
rnacentral:rRNA from 1 species